AUGCUUGACCUGGAGAUUAAGCCAUUCAUGUCUCAGUAUAAGUUAUAUACAGCGAAACUGCGGAUGGCUCAUUACAACAGUUAUAAUUUAUUUGAUGGUUUUAUUACAUGGAUAACCGUGGGAAACUAGGGCUAAUACAUGCGUAAAACCCGCAAGGGUUGUAUUUAUUAGUUUCAAAUCAAUAUGGGUAAUCCGUAUUAGAGGAAUCAUAGUAACUGAACGAAGCGCAACACCAAGCGCUGCAUCAUUCAAGUUUCUGUCCCAUCAGCUCGUUGGUAGUGUAUUGGACUACCACGGCGUUCACGGGUAACGGAGAAUUAGGGUUCGAUUCCGGAGAGGGCGCAUGAGAAACGGCGACCAUUUUUACGAAAGGCAGAAGGCGCGUAAAUUACCCAAUCCUAAUUCAGGGAGGUAGUUAAUGGACAUAACAAUUCCGGCCUUUUAGGUUCUGGAAAGGUAAUGAAGGCAAUUUAAACAAUUGCCAAAAAUCUAUUCAUGAGCAAGUGAAUGCCAGCAGUCGCGGUAAUUUUCACAUGAAUAGCGUAAUUCAAAAUUGCUGCAAUUAAAAGCUCGUAGUUGAAUUUCCGGCGCAUUUCGCGUCUGCCCGAGGCGGCUAUCGAUACCGAACGGUUUUGAUAGAAGCACGGGCGUUUACUGUGACCAAAGUAGAGUGCUCAAAGCAGGCAAAAGCUUGAAUAAUUUAGCAUGGAAUAAUAAAAUACGACUUUGUUCAUUUUAUUGGUUAUUGAAUAAAGUAAUGAUUAACAGAAACAGUUGGGGGCAUACGUACUUGAUAGUCAGAGGUGAAAUUCUUAGAUUUAUCAAAGACGAACUAAAGCGAAAGCAUUUGCCAAGAAUGUUUUCAUUAAUCAAGAACGAAAGUUAGGGGAUAGAAGACGAUCAGAUACCGUUGUAUUCCUAACUAUAAACUAUACCGACUAGGGAUUGGUAAGGUAAACCCUUAUCAGCACCUAAUGAGAAAUCAAAGUCUUUGGGUUUUGGGGGAAGUAUGAUCGCAAGGUUGAAACUUAAAGGAAUUGACGGAAGGGCACACCAGGAGUGGAUUCUGCGGCUUAAUUUGAUUCAACACGGGAAAACUUACCAAGGCAUAAAAUUGAAAGGAUUGACAGCUUGAUAGCACUUUCUUGAUCCGAUAGCAAGUGGUGCAUGGCCGUUCUUAGUUGGUGGAGUGAUCUGUCAGGUUAAUUCCCUAAACGAACGAGACCUUAACCUGCUAAAUAGACGUGGUUAAUAUCUAGCCAUAGUCUUCUUAGAGGGACUACUGGAGUAAUCUAGUGGAAGUUUGAGGCAAUAACAGGUCCGUUAUGCCCUUUGAUGUCUUGGGCGGCACGCGUAAUACACUGAUGCAUUCAAUAAGUUUCCUAACCUGAAGAGGGCUGGGUAAUCUUCAUAAUGUGCAUCGUGCUUGGGAUAGAACUUUGCAAUUAUAGUUCUUGAACGAGGAAUUCCUAGUAAGCGUGAGUCAUCAUCUCACGCUGAAUACGUAAUUGCCCUUUGUACACACCGCCCGCCACUUCUACCGAUUGAGUAGUUCGGCGAGUUCUCCAGAUUGGGUUUCUUUUGAGACCUGAAAAGUUGUGCAAGCCAUACUACUUAGAGGAAGGAAAAGGCGUAACAAGGUU
rnacentral:rRNA from 1 species